CGGCGGACGGGUGAGUAACGCGUGGGCAACCUGCCUUACACAGGGGGAUAACAGUUAGAAAUGACUGCUAAUACCGCAUAAGACCGCGGAACCGCAUGGUUCUGAGGUUAAAAACUCCGGUGGUGUAAGAUGGGCCCGCGUCUGAUUAGGUAGUUGGUGAGGUAACGGCUCACCAAGCCGACGAUCAGUAGCCGACCUGAGAGGGUGACCGGCCACAUUGGGACUGAGACACGGCCCAGACUCCUACGGAAGGCAGCAG
rnacentral:rRNA from 1 species